GUGCUUGGCUCAGCAGCACAUAUGUUAAAAUUGGAAUGAUACAGAGACAAUUAGCACGGUCCCCAUGCAAGGACGACACCAAGAUUCAUAAAGAUGAACACAGUGUGC
rfam:Cavia porcellus supercont2_43 genomic scaffold, whole genome shotgun sequence.